rnacentral:rRNA from 1 species
GACGAACGCUGGCGGCGGGCUUAACACAUGCAAGUCGAACGGAAAGGCACUGCUUUUGUGGGGUGCUCGAGUGCGGAACGGGUGAGUGAGACGUGUGUAACGGGCUCUUGACUUUGGGAGAGCUUAAGGAAACUAGGGCUAAGAUCGGAUAGGAUCUCAUGCAGCAGUGAGGGGGUGGGAAAGUUUCGGCGGGUGGGAAUGGACUCGCGGCUUAUCGGCUUGUUGGUGGGGGGGGGGCUUACCAAGGCUUUGAAGGGUAGCCGGCCUGGGAGGGUGACCGGCCACAUUGGGACUGAGAUCCGGCCCAGACUCCUACGGGGGGAAGCAGUGGGUACUAUUGCCCGAUGGGCCGAGGCCUUAUGCAGCAACUCCGCGUGCGGGAUGCCGGCCUUCGGGUUGUAAACCGCUUUCGCUUGUGACGCGGCGUGCGUGCCGGAACUGGGUAAAGAAGCACCGCCUACUUACUG